GGGCUUGGUGCUUCGUUGGCUAUCCAUGUUAAUUCUGUUAGUCCAUAUUGUCUAGCUGUGAUGAGUGCAUGGAGUGGCUUAGUCCCCAUACCCUGUGUGCCGAUUCAUUGAACCUAACACUUCCUUUCCUGUGGAAAAGCCUCUGCUAUAUCAAGAGACUGGCACACAACAGAACAAAACGAAAACAAAGCAAUACACACACAGAAGUCUCAGCCAGGUAAACCCCAGCAAGAGCAAGAGGCUGCACACCAGAGAAAUGCCAGGCACUCCCUCAAACAACCCAACCAGAGGAACCAGUUCCUGCUAACACAGAGAACGGAUAUCUCUAGCACAUUAACCCAACAUGGAAUGCUGUGGGAAGAGUAACUGCUAAGCUCUCUACUCCACAGAAGGGUAGCACACAUCGCCUUGGAGGAGUCUUAGGCAUGCCCAGCUGAUUCCAAAAAAACAUGGAAAACUGUGUGGCAGAACAGAGCAACUGCAUUCUCUUUUUGCAAAGAAGCAAAUAAAAACCUGCAACAUAUGCACAGCUUUGGAAAAUGAGGCUAGCAAGAACCGCACUACCAAGGAGAAGAACCCCAGUUUCCCAGUAACAAGAUAUAGCGGCUGAAGUGCUGGGAAAAUGUAACAUUUCAGCCACAGGAAAUGUUGUUCCACUAGAAGUCACCUGCCCGUCUGCCUGCCUCCCUGCUUGUUUGUUACCUGCUAGGGAAAGCAACUUCUGCCAAGCUCCCAAGAAGCACUGAUUCCUGAAGACGCACAAAAGCAAUGAAGGGUUUCUCCAGGAAGCUGGCUUCUCCUACAAGAAUGUUAGCCACUUCAGUCCCGGCUGGAAUCUUCUUCUUAAAGUGAUUUUUAAGCUACAAGGAAGGGAAACCCACAGUUGGUGAUGCAUAGCUCAGAGAGCAACAGCGAGGUGACUGAACGAGUGCUGGUGACUGUAUAGAUGAGAGAAAAGCCUCUGCACCAUUAACACUUUUUGUGUGUGUGUGUGUGAAGUGUUCAAACUACCCUCUUAAGGAUGCUACUAGUGACUGCUGCCCAUUCCUUCCACUAAAAAAUAAAAGCAUCACCUGGAAAGCUUCUCAGUCUCAAUGUUAUAGCCAACCCUUCCAAUCACUGCCAGCUGAGUAUCCAAAAUUAAUGGCCAUUCUGGUGAUGUAUUUUCACUCACAAUGAAGCAAGGCAGGGGCUGCUCAUGCAUUUCAUAGCUAUAGCAAAAUUCCACACACAAACAUAUGCGUACACUUUUUAUUCAUCUGACUAAAAGCAUUGAAAUACUUUAUAAUGCAGCAUGGCAGAAGUGGAUCUCUUCAAUGGAUAGGAAGGACCCCCAUGAGUGGAACACUGCACUGUACUGGCAGCUACAGGCACUGCAUAUUAGCUCACUCUUUUUCUGCAGUACCAGUAUAUGGAUCACAUGUGUUGGUAAGUUCCUGGUUAUUUGACUCCUCUAGAUAACCUGUUUAUUCAGCAUUCAUCCUGAUUUUCUUACAGAGUGUUUACACAUCUCCCCGUUAAUCAUUUGUUCAUCCCACACUUUUCAACACACUUCCCUGUCACUUUGCAAACCUCAAAGUGUCCUUUUUUAAAAAGUAGAUUUGUUGGGCUAGGGCAACAGAGUGAUUUAAUCCACUUUGAUUGCACAAACCUAAAGAAUGCAUUUGAAUCCCUCCUGCAAAAUACUCUGGAUGAGAUCUGCAAUGCACAGCAAGCGAGAAAGGGGGUGGUGGUCGGUUUCAGCCUGCCUCCGGAAGCUUUGUCAAUUUCAUUCUACUUGCUGUGGUUUUUGCUUCAAAUCAGAAAAGCAUAUAUUUGUUUAAGUGUAAUAUCGCAAAUACAAACAAGAAAAGGGCUGCUGGUCGGUUUCAGGCCUGCUCCGGAAAGCUUUGUCAAUUUCAUUCUCCAUGGGAAGGGAAGGAAAGGGAGGAGGGGGGGGUGACAUGUUUCUUGCUUUUUUGGAGAAAUAAGUGCAAUUGCCAGCGUGUGUAUCUCCUUAAAUAUCAAUAAAUGCAGAAAAGCAUACAUUCGUUUAAGUGUAAUAUCGCAAAUACAAACAAGGCAGGCGUGAAACCGACCAGCAGCCUUUCCUUCCCAGGCGAGAACUCCUUUACAGCCAUAUUGUGCUUCGUUGCAAAGGGGGAGAGGAGCAUACGUAAUUUUUUUGCUAACCAAUUGGUUG